rnacentral:lncRNA from 1 species
UUAAUGAUUGAUGACCCAAGCCUGAUUUAUGACCCUAUGUAAUGAUUUAUGACCCUAUGUCAUGUAGAAGGGUGCAUGCCCUGGGUUGAGUAAGUGACCAUGUGUCAGGUCAACCUGUUACUGUUUCUCACGGUUUGGGUUGGUUAAGGCCCCUUAUAAAGCCGCUGAACAAUACCUGUUUAAGACUGUACAUGAUAACCCCCCUGAAUAUUAAACAAAAAUGACACCUAUGCCAAUUUUAGGGAUGUUAUGCUCGGCUUGUCAUGAACCCAGUGACCAAAGCCUUGAAGAAGUUCUGUGUGAAGCUCCAGAAUGUUUUAAAGGAUUUUUGGGGACGAGUGAGGGCCACAUGUCUUACAUAUUCCACCCGGAGGAUUCUACGGUAAAGAUAUUCACAGACCGUGGACCCAAACCCCUUUAUCCUGCAAAACCUGGGAGUUUUCCCCCGGCUCUGGGGAUGAGAGAAUGGCUAAACAUCAGGCUGGCUCUUUGUAAAAUUGAACAGGUCCUAAGUGUUACAAAUGUGCCAGGAUAUGCGUUGGAAGAACAGGUCUGCGGCCGCAGUGAUCUCAAGGCUCUAAGAAUUGCUUCAAUGGACUAUAGCCCUGACAACAAAGUGACAAUUUUAGCCUGUGACCUUUAUGAUAAGGCUAAUGCUACAAAGUCUGUCAAUUCUCCGGUAGCUUCCAGAGCCCGCAAACAUGUAAACUUUUUUAUUCCUGUGUUUAGUUUUAAAUGGGUGGAUUAUCCAAUUUUCAUAACACUUAUGAAUAAGCUGGACAUUCUCUUCCAAAAUGGGGAACAGUUAAAGCGCUGGGCGAGGCUUUCCUUGAGACAGAGUCAAGACCAAAAGGCCCGACGGCGGAUCUACCCCUGGAGUGAAAACUUACCAUGUGUUGAUGGACAUAGCAAGAGAGCCUUGCCUUUUGAGGGUGAACUCGACACGGACAAUUGCGGUUGGUUGCAUAAGCUCCCAGGAUCUGUAAGAAAGGCAUCGUAAAAUACCUUAAGAAUGUAACGAUAUAAAAUGUAUGUACUAAAUAUUUUGAAUGAAAUAAAUGGUUUUAAAAUCAGAAUCUCACCACGUUAUGAACUCUCGCG